GUUAUUGCUGUCGGGUCGUCUAUAAUGUUGUGUGGAGCAUCUGUCUAAGCACGUGCGCAUUUGGCUCGGAGCUGCUCUGCCCGGAGGUGUAGAGUUAGGAGCGGGUGGACCGAGCUUUAGGAGUCCACGAUUGAUCUGUGGACAUGUUAUCCUGCGUAGGCAUAGGCUGUGCGGUCAUCUGGGACGGAGUAGCUGUGGGCAGGGGAGCGGACAGUCCGUACCGCAGUGGUUUUUGGGACUCAAUUAGACCUUAUUGUGUGAUUCCUGAAUAGAAAGCAGACCUGUGGAAUGGUCAAGCUGUUGAUGAGCUCCUGGUUACCUUGUUGAAUACCUUGAUUUCAGAUGCAGAGGGACAACUUGGCACGAAAGAGCGACGGAGGAGGCGAGCCGAGCGCCGUAAGCAAGCAGGUGCGAAGCAAAGUGGAAAGCUGGGUAUCGGCAGCGCAGCUCCUCUGGCAAGAUGUUGAAGAGGAACCCAGCGAUGCAGGAAGAUCCCUGUUAGCGCGUGUGGCGUUUUCUUCGUCGAAGAUGGGUUAGGUCCCUCGGCCCUCUGAAAGCUAAG